UAAGCAGCAGUAGACGAAGGAGAAGAAGGGGAAGAACGUGGUGGCGGUUUCUUUGCUUCCUGUUGUAGAAAUGAUUCGGUUGGAAAGUUUGUGUUCUGUUGGACACCUACCCGUUCUGGAAUCAAGCCCUUCAUCUUCUCCGAUUAUGAGAAGCGGCAGCACCGACCCGCUGCGUCGUGCCGACAUGCUAAUUUAUGCUAACUACAAGGAGCGACCGAGCACGUGCACCGGUACCAGACAAGCACAGGCGAGUUCUGACCUUUCACUCUUGGAGAUGACUGAUGCUCCACCUUCACAUGGUCAGAUGAGAGGAGGGUUCAGGGAAGCAGAGUUCUGCAGACAGAAUUGUUAAUGAACUCAAACAGAACCAGAUGCACCAGAACUGAUGGGUCAUUCCAGCAUCAUGUUGGUGACAGGGGGAUUUCAGCUGCUGGAUCCUCCUCGGCAGAUCUAGAUUCCACUGUGCCGAGCAGGUGAACUCUCCACUAACUGACAAUCUGAGGCCUCAACACAUACUACGAUCACAGAUGUGGAACUACGAUCAUCAGCUCUACGAAGACCUUCUGGGAGAUCACUUGACAUUCUCCACGUCAGGAUGGUCUUCAUUGAGACAUCAAACAUCCAGCUGUAAAUAUCAAAUCCUGUCACCAGUUCAAAACAAACAGGGUUGUGUUAAGAAAUGUAUGUAUUUUAUAAAAAUCUUUUAGGGCAAAUGUUUUUCAUGAUGUUUAAUGAAAGUUUUGAUAUUUAAAGUUCUUUUGGCAUUUCUCUAGAGGUCAUUCAGAUUAAAAUUACAUUCUGAGUGGUUCACUUUUUAUUGAAGUUAUUGUUAAUUGGUAGCAGAUGGUGAGAAAAAAAAUGCAGUUUGAAAAAGAGCUUAUGUAUUAUGUAGAAAACAUGCAUGGCAGGCCAUUAGCUCCCUUCUCUGCUCCUCAAUGUGAAGGUGGGAAAGGGGGGCGGGGUUGCUAAACGCCAAUUGUGCUCAACUCAGGUCAAUUGCUGCUGCUCAUUUAAAAGACCACUGGGAAUGCUUUCAAAUAGAUCAACAGAUGGUUGGAGUUCAACUUCAAGGAAUAAUUAAAUGUUACUUUUUUUUUCUAACAGAAACCUCAUCAAUGGCUUAAAAACAAAUGUUUGCCUAAAUUUUUAGGUAGCAACUGUCUUAUAUUGAGUUGAUUUCCAAUGGAGUUAUCAGAGCUGGUCUGCAAAUAAACUUAUCUUGAAAACCUU